UACAGAGGGUGCGAGCGUUGUCCGGAAUCACUGGGCGUAAAGGGCGCGUAGGUGGUGGCUUAAGCGUGCGGUGAAAGCUCGGGGCUCAACCCCGAGUCGGCCGUGCGAACUGGGCUCACUGGAGCAUAGUAGAGGCAGGUGGAAUUCCGGGUGUAGCGGUGGAAUGCGUAGAGAUCCGGAAGAACACCGGUGGCGAAGGCGGCCUGCUGGGCUAUGGCUGACACUGAGGCGCGACAGCGUGGGGAGCAACAGG
rnacentral:rRNA from 1 species